AGGAUGAACGCUGGCGGCGUGCCUAAUACAUGCAAGUCGAGCGGUAAGGCCCCUUCGGGGGUACACGAGCGGCGGACGGCUGAGUAACACGUAGGAACGUACCCCAAACUGAGGGAUAAGCACCAGAAAUGGUGUCUAAUACCGCAUGUGGUCUUCGGAUUAAAGCUUCGGCGGUUUGGGAACGGCCUGCGCAUGAUUAGCUUGUUGGUGAGGUAAAAGCUUACCAAGGCGACGAUCAUUAGCUGGUCUGAGAGGAUGAUCAGCCAGACUGGGACUGAGAACGGCCCAGACUCCUACGGGAGGCAGCAGUAGGGAAUUUUCCACAAUGGGCGAAAGCCUGAUGGAGCAACGCCGCGUGCAGGACGAAGGCCUUCGGGUCGUAAACUGCUUUUAUAUGUGAAGAUUAUGACGGUAGCAUAUAGAAUAAGGAUCGGACUAACGUCCGCGCCAGCAGCCGC
rnacentral:rRNA from 1 species